rnacentral:rRNA from 1 species
GACGAACGCUGGCGGCGCGCUUAACACAUGCAAGUCGAGCGAGAACCGGGGCUUCGGCCCCGGGGACAGCGGCGAACGGGUGAGUAACACGUGGGUAACCUGCCCUCGGCACCGGAAUAGCCCGGGGAAACUCGGAUUAAUGCCGGAUAGCCCCUCCGCCUUACGGGGCGGCGGGAAAAGGUAGCUUCGGCCUCUGGCCGAGGAUGGGCUCGCGGCGGAUUAGCUUGUUGGCGGGGUAACGGCCCACCAAGGCGACGANCCGUAGCUGGUCUGAGAGGACGAUCAGCCACACUGGGACUGAGACACGGCCCAGACUCCUACGGGAGGCAGCAGUGGGGAAUCUUGCGCAAUGGGCGAAAGCCUGACGCAGCGACGCCGCGUGAGGGAUGACGGCCU